CGUGAGGGAAAGGUGAAAAGAACCCCGGGAGGGGAGUGAAAUAGAACCUGAAACCGUGUGCCUACAACCGGUCAAAGCCCCAUAUGAGGGUGAUGACGUGCUUUUUGUAGAACGAGCCAACGAGUUACGGUAUGUAGCAAGGUUAAGUACUUAAGGUACGGAGCCGAAGGGAAACCGAGUCUUAAUAGGGCGACUAGUUGCAUGCCGUAGACCCGAAACCGGGUGACCUAUCCAUGGCCAGGUUGAAGCGAGGGUAAAACUUCGUGGAGGACCGAACCACGUUGCUGUUGAAAAAGCAUGGGAUGAGCUGUGGAUAGCGGAGAAAUUCCAAUCGAACUCGGAGAUAGCUGGUUCUCCCCGAAAUAGCUUUAGGGCUAGCGUCGGAUAUGUGUAGUGGAGGUAGAGCACUGAAUGGGCUAGGGGGCAUAUCGCUUACCGAACCUUAUCAAACUCCGAAUGCCAUAUACAUUUAGUCCGGCAGUCAGACUACGAAUGAUAAGAUCCGUGGUCAAAAGGGAAACAGCCCAGAUCGUCAGCUAAGGUCCCAAAGUGUAAGUUAAGUGGAAAAGGAUGUGGGAUUUCUAAGACAACUAGGAUGUUGGCUUAGAAGCAGCCACUCAUUUAAAGAGUGCGUAAUAGCUCACUAGUCGAGAGAUCCUGCGCCGAAAAUGUCCGGGGCUCAAACUUACCACCGAAGCUACGGGCUUGCGUAAGCAAGCGGUAGGGGAGCGUCGUAAUCGGGCUGAAGUCGUACCGUAAGGAGCGGUGGACUGAUUACGAGUGAGAAUGUUGGCAUUAGUAGCGAGAUGUAGGUGAGAAUCCUACAGGCCGAAUAUCUAAGGUUUCCUCAGGAAGGCUCGUCCGCUGAGGGUUAGUCGGGACCUAAGCCGAGGCCGAAAGGCGUAGGCGAUGGACAAUCGGUUGAUAUUCCGAUACCACUACCAUCGUUAUUAUCGAGGGUGUGACGGAGAAGGAUAGUGUGUGCUAGCGAUUGGAAAUGCUAGUCUAAGCGUUUAGGGAGUUACGGUAGGCAAAUCCGCUGUAACAAUUCUGAGGCGUGAUGGGGAAGGCCAUAUAGGCCGAAGUACAUGAUUCCAUGCUUCCAAGAAAAGCAUCUAGAGAGAGAAGUAGUGCCCGUACCGCAAACCGACACAGGUAGAUGAGGAGAGAAUCCUAAGGCCGGCGGAAGAAUUGCAGUUAAGGAACUAGGCAAAUUGACCCCGUAAGUUCGCGAGAAGGGGUGCCUGCGAGAGCAGGCCGCAGAGAAUAGGCCCAAGCAACUGUUUAGCAAAAACACAGGUCUCUGCUAAAGCGCAAGCUGAUGUAUAGGGGCUGACGCCUGCCCGGUGCUGGAAGGUUAAGGGGAACACUUAGCGCAAGCGAAGGUGUGAACUUAAGCCCCAGUAAACGGCGGCCGUAACUAUAACGGUCCUAAGGUAGCGAAAUUCCUUGUCAGGUAAGUUCUGACCCGCACGAAUGGCGUAAUGACUUGGGCACUGUCUCAACUGCAAAUCCGGCGAAGUUGUAGUGCGAGUGAAGAUGCUCGCUACCCGCGAUUGGACGGAAAGACCCCGUAGAGCUUUACUGUAGCUUAGCAUUGAAUUCCGGUAUUGUCUGUACAGGAUAGGUGGGAGACUGGGAAACUAGGGCGUCAGCCUUAGUGGAGUCAACCUUGGGAUACCACCCUGACAGUACUGGGGUUCUAACAGGACGCCAUGAAUCUGGUGACUGGACAUUGUUAGGUGGGCAGUUUGACUGGGGCGGUCGCCUCCUAAAAAGUAACGGAGGCGCCCAAAGGUUCCCUCAGAACGGUCGGAAAUCGUUCGUAGAGUGCAAAGGCAUAAGGGAGCCUGACUGCGAGACCUACAAGUCGAGCAGGGACGAAAGUCGGGCUUAGUGAUCCGGUGGUACCUCGUGGGAGGGCCAUCGCUCAACGGAUAAAAGCUACCUCGGGGAUAACAGGCUGAUCUCCCCCAAGAGUCCACAUCGACGGGGAGGUUUGGCACCUCGAUGUCGGCUCGUCGCAUCCUGGGGCUGUAGUAGGUCCCAAGGGUUGGGCUGUUCGCCCAUUAAAGCGGCACGCGAGCUGGGUUCAGAACGUCGUGAGACAGUUCGGUCCCUAUCCGUCGCGGGCGUAGGAAAUUUGAGAGGAGCUGUCCUUAGUACGAGAGGACCGGGAUGGACUGACCUCUGGUG
rnacentral:rRNA from 1 species